GACGAACGCUGGCGGCGUGCUUAACACAUGCAAGUCGAACGGAAAGGCCCUGCUUUUGUGGGGUGCUCGAGUGGCGAACGGGUGAGUAACACGUGAGUAACCUGCCCUUGACUUUGGGAUAACUUCAGGAAACUGGGGCUAAUACCGGAUAGGAGCUCCUGCUGCAUGGUGGGGGUUGGAAAGUUUCGGCGGUUGGGGAUGGACUCGCGGCUUAUCAGCUUGUUGGUGGGGUAGUGGCUUACCAAGGCUUUGACGGGUAGCCGGCCUGAGAGGGUGACCGGCCACAUUGGGACUGAGAUACGGCCCAGAAUCCUACGGGAGGCAGCAGUGGGGAAUAUGGCACAAUGGGCGGAAGCCUGAUGCAGAAACGCCGCGUGCGGGAUGACGGCCUUCGGGUUGUAAACCGCUUUCGCCGGUGACGAAGCGUGAGUGACGGUAAUGGGUAAAGAAGCACCGGCUAACUACGUG
rnacentral:rRNA from 1 species